AUUCGGCUGACUAAUCUCAAAUAGGAUGAAACGCGCGUCCUGGAU
rnacentral:hammerhead_ribozyme from 1 species